CCUGCCCUAGAAGCAUUGCAAGUGUGGCUGCUGUGUCACAUGUGCAUCAGUGGGUGGUAGAGAGGGAGAGAUGAUGUCUGCGCUCAGUAUUCUGACUUGUGAACACCCGAAUGGCUAGUAGCCUGACAUU